GUGGCUACAACGUAAUGGACUUAUUCCUUGUAGAUGGACUUUUUUAUGAGUUUGAGGUUUCAAUUGGAUUUAAAGUUUUGUCAAUGUAGAGUGGAGCUCUUUUUCUUUUUUUUCUCUCUUCUUUUUUUUGACUUAUUUAUAAUAGCACCCCUAAAAUUAAGAUUAAAUUUCACAUUGUUUCAAAAAGUCAAAGUGGCCCACUUCGCCCCCUUCACCAAGGUUUGAUGUUCCACCUUGCCUCUCGGUAUUAGCUCCAUCCAAAAGUCUCUAAAAAUUGAUGAUAUGGCAACGAUGUUUACGUAACUUUGUAUGUGCCAGUUUUACAUUUAAAAAAUUAAAAAAUAAUUAGAUGUCUAAGCAAAAGCAAAGAAAAAACCUCUCUGGGUAAGACAUUAGCUGAUGGGGGUUCUUUUGAUGUCGCAAUUCCGAUGGCUGUCAAUUAUGAACUAGAAGAGGGUUUUUGUGAGCUUCCGGUGGCCACCGGUUAUGAACUAGAAGAGGGUUCUUUUGGCUUUUGGUGACGCAAUUCCGUGGGAAAUAGGGCUACCACGAAACGUGUGGUGAACGUUGAUGGUUUAGCUCAACAUGGGGACAUGGGACAAUAUGUAUCUAGUCGAAGAAGGGGACUUAAGGUGGGAGGUGCGCGGCCUCAUAGUAAUCCAAAGACCCCGGGGGGGCGGGGAGGGGUUUCGAGAUAGAAAAAAGAGGUGCUUAUAGAUGUGUUUGGGCCAAGAAAUUCCACACACCAGCCCACUUCUCACAAAGCAACCCAAACAAACAUAAAGAGGCCCAUGUCUUUUACGAAGUAGCAGAGUUGUAAAAAAUACGAAGCAGGUCAAUAAAAUUGCCAAUUAAAAAAAUGGCAAAUUGACCACCAAACAGAUCAAUAAAAAUCUAAAAAAUUGGAUUGGGCCCAGCUUCUAAAAAUUCUCACCACUACUCUCAAGAAGCCCAUAAACAAGUCAGCAGAUUCUUCUUGGAAGGUCUAUUCUCAGAAAACCCACGUGAUUGCCUGACUUUGAAAAGUCAACAAUUUCAACCAUCACAAGAGAGUGGAUAGGGAGUUAAUGAAAGCAGGUCUUAAAACAAGAAAAUAUAUCUAGUCUUUUCAGUCAAAACAAGAUCAAAAUCCCUUUCUAUAUAAAUCUGCAUCAGGACAGACAUCAUUUCCAAGAGAUAAGCAUACUACAUUUUCUAAAGAGAUAAGUAGGGUGCAGGGAGUUGUUCAUCAGGAAAAUCAAACUAACCAUCACGGCAGAUUGAACUCUUACAAAGAGCAGUUAAAGGUAAAAAAGGGAUUAGGUUUUCUUUUAAAAAGAGCAGAGAAGUGAUCACCAUAACGAACUGACUGUUAAUAGGUUUGUCUGCCAGAAUAGAUAAAAAACCCAUUUUCCUUAACAUUUAAAAUAAAAGAUCUUGCCUCUAGGAAAUCUACUGCCCAUUAUUAAAAGAUUAGAAGUCCCACUCCAGCACUUUCCUAUAAAUAUGAGAUGGGGUGAACAAAUCAAGGACAGCCAAAAAUCAAUCAAAAACAAAAACUCAAAAUGAUCACUUGAUAUCAAAAGCCUUCAAAACACUGAAGCAACCAAAAGCUCAUUGAGCCACAAGAAACAAGUCAGCUAUAAUCUAGAAUCUCUAACUUCAGUUCAAUUUCAGAGAAAUAGUCAUUCAAAGCGAGAUUUCUCUCGUUACAAAUUUGGUUCAGCAUAAGCCAAAUCAAGCAGAGUUCGGGUUUUACACAUAUGAAAACCUCAACAAAUUUAUGGAGAGCCCUGAUCAAGCAAAACAAGUACUACAGUGCAGUUCCAGCUUAGUAAUCAUCAAAUCCAGCCACUUCUGCCCCUUCCAGACUGAAGAGGUUCCAAUUCUGCCCAUUCAAAGAGCCUUCCAAGACUUGAAAUAGAUUAAAGCUCUGCCCAAACUCGAACGUUGGUAUCAAUUUACAACUGAAACUUGACAGUUGAAAGUGUUGAUAGUCCAAUCCAGCAUAGACACAUCCAAUCCAGCCCAGAUCAAAACUAGCUAUCCAAGCAGAAAUUGAAGUCCAAUGCUCUUUUUGUCUUCUUUAGAGUUGGUCUUUCCCUUUUUGAGUCUUGUAAAAGGCAGUUCUGCCUGAAACAGUUUACUUUCUUGUCAUAUAUUAUGGCUAAAACUACUAGUUUUGUACUGUGAAAAAUUGUGAAGUCCUAACUAGUCUGAGGCAAGAAAAGAACUUACUUGGGAGAUAUUCCUCACCCAAAUUCAUAAUCGCUUGUUUAGAAAUCAGUAACUUGGGGUGCAAGUUAUUCAUUUUUAGAGAAGUCUGCUAGGAUUUUUAUUGCUACCAGUGGCACGCUCAUACACAACAGAAAGUUGACUUGUUGACCAGUCAGUGGUUUUCAAGACAAUGGGGACAUUUACCCUACCAUCACAGGAACAAAUAUAAAACGGGUGAACAAUUUGGCACGCCCGGUGGGACUUCUCAGUAUACAUACUCAUAGAAGAAUCUUCUAAGUAUAUGAAUAUUAGAAGUUCUAGCCAGAAUCCACGUUGUGCCAUGGAAAAAGAUCAGGUAACUCUCCGAGAAGUACUUGAGUCAGAAGAAAGUGAUGCUAAGCAAUCAGCCCAUGGUAGUACCAAGAGUAGACGUUCCAAGUCUGGCUCCAGAAGGUUAAACCAAAUACAGGAGGUUGUGUUCCGGCAAGAAGCCACAGCACAAAGGAGCCAGGAUACUUUAAACAACAUGAUAGCCAUGAUGCAAUGGCAAGUCAACAGGCAAUUCAGAAAAGAUUGUGAGGCUGCUAUUGCCAGAAUCCCAAACCCAGAUUUGGUGGUCCAGUAGCUAGAUCUCCCUUCUGGAGCUCCACCAGGACUGGCAUGGCCUUACCAAGAGAAUUCUCUCAUUGCACAGUUAGCCGAAAUCCCAGGACAAGGAGAAAUACAAGCUAGACAGAGGGGAGGAGCCCUUCCUAUCCAAUAACAUGAGGCUCCAGUUCGUCCAGAAAGCCCUGCACCAGUUCAGGCCCCUCAGAACCAGCCAAAACCUCCACAUAUUCCACAACCAGUGGCCCCACGCGAUCAGCCCUUGGCACUUCUGCCUGAGCAACCAGCUGUGUUGCCUACAGACCUAGAAGGAUGGACCCUAAUCCAUUCCCUCCACUAGCAAGAGGCAGGAGAGGUAGAUGGGGAAUUAACCCUUUUGCCAACAAUGACAGGAACAGACUGGGGGCAAACUGGAGGAAUCAUCCAGAUUUCGAAGAAGAGGAAGAGCAUAGAGAGGAAGUUCUGCCCAGGCCAUACAGAGUGGAAUAAACGAUUGAACACAACCAACCAGAACAUGGGCGAAAUUCGCAUCCUGUUAAUACUUUGAAUGACAUAGGGACACUUCAAAGAAUGAUCAGAGAGAUGAUGGAACUUUAGGCCAGAAGAGGAGAAAGGCCUACCUACAAAAAGCCAUAUCCGACUUAUAUUGAUCAGAUACCUCUAUCCUUGGGGUUUAAGGUACCAAACUUCACCUUGUUCAACGGAGAGGACACCCAUGCUUCAUCAGUUGAGCAUAUAGGCAGAUUUUCUGUCCAGUGUAUAGCCAUAAAAAAUAACCCUCUUUGAAAACUAAGGCUUUUUGGAAACUCUAUCUCUGGACAAGCCUUCACCUGGUAUACUAGCUUAUCAACCAAUUCUGUUCAAACUUGGGAACAGAUGGAAAAUGUCUUCCAUGACUACUAUUUCAGGAUUUAGCCAAAAGUCACCAUUAGUGAUCUUGCUACCCUCAAACAGAAUGAAGAUGAGUCUGCCCAAGACUUCAUAACCAAGUUCAGAAAGCUCAAAAUGAAAUGCUGAAUUCCUAUGGAAGAAAAGCACUUCAUUCAAAUGGCUCAAAUCGCCCUUAAAAUAUCUCUGAGGAAGAGAUUUGAUAGAAUGCUAUUUGGAGAUCUGGCAGAAUUAGCAGACAAAGCAUCUAUAUAUGAGGAGCUGCUCAGGGAAGAACAAUAGAAGAGGAACUCUUCCAAAGGCACAUAUUACAAAACCCCAUCUUCUUAAGUCUGGUUGAGGUAAAAUCAGAAGAAAGCACAUAAAGCUAGGAAGAAAGGGAAGUUGCAGUGGCAAAAAUGGCGAAAUUAAAACAUUGCAAGGCUUUGACAAAGCCACCAAAGGACCAGAAGCCACCACCAUACACACGAGGGUUUGUUCUAAAUAAACCAGCACAGAACAAAGUCUAUUCCUUCGAUUUAACCAAGGUUGAUGCUCUGUUUGAUGAGAUGCUGCAGCAGAAGGCAAUAGAGACGCCCCGCAAGUUGCCCAAGCUAGAGGAACUCAAGGGUAGACAAUAUUGCAUAUGGCACAACUCUUGGAACCAUUCCACCAAUAGUUGUGUUGUUUUCAGGGACGUCAUACAAGAAGGCUAAAACUGGUUGAGAAACCUCCCUCAGUAACAACAGAUCUUUUUCCCCAACCUUAAGUCAACAUGGUGAACUUAAAUUGGCCAGAACAGAAGAGAGGUAAACUGACAGCAAAAGCUAGCCUCAACAUAACCAGAAGAGCCACGAGAGAGGUCAAGAAAAGGCCAAAGGCAACCAUUUCGGCUGGGGUAGUUUUGUGCAGCAGAUACAAAUGUGAAAGUGAGUUAGAGGUAACCCUGGAUAGGCAAAGUCAACCCACACCUAGUGUUUUUGACAGGAUUGGAACAUCAUGCCAACAUGGCCCAGUUUUGGCUCCAUAUAGAGACAGAGCCAGACAGAAGGACUAUCUAAGGCCUACCCAACGAAAUAGAAGAAUAACAGAGUAGCCAAAGAAGGAAAUGCCAGUUAAGAUGCCCGAAAAUGACAAGCCCUUGGCAACUAUCAUAAAAGGCAGAUGGUACUCUGUUGGAAAGAGCAGUAGACCAACUCUGGAGCUAACCAGAACACAGAAGAGGAGAGUUCAAAGGCAAUACUACACCUUCCUCAAGAAUAAGGAUGACACACAGGUACUUUCAGAGACCAGUUCUGCCAGAAAAGGGAAGAAUCCAGAAGUAGCUCAUCAGGCAUAACAGACAACAUGUCAACUAGAAGAGCUGACAAAGACAGAAUUUCUAGGCAAAUCUUUUAUCUAUCCUGCCUCACCCUCAGUCAAUCAGUUAGAACCUUCACAGUCACAAGGUCAAUUCGGACCUAUUCCAAUAGAAGGGCAAGAGGAUUGGAUUGAAGAAUAUGAAGAGAAACAGUUGGUUACGAACCAUUUGCAGAUAACCAGACUGGACUCCUCGAAAUAGGUGAGCAAGAAGACUGGAUAGAAUAUAUGGAGAAGAACAGAUGAGGUAUGAUGAAGAACUAGAUGAAGAAACUGAGGCUUUCGGCGCAGAAUUAGAGAGCCUGUUACAAGGUGAUCUAGGCAUUAAUAUGGUGUUCAUCCUGCCAGAAAAGUUUAGAGCAGCAGAAGGACAAGAAAGCACUUUGGAAGGAGAUGUACUCUUUUAAGAAGCUUUUAAGUGCAGAUUGACAGAAGUGGAAGAGGUGCCAGAACAACAAACAACUAUUCCCAAAGCAGGCAGAAAUGCCAUGGAAUUUUCCAUAGAAUAUCUGUGCUUUUCCAGGCCCACCAAGGAAAUGGCCAAUCAUCUAAGACCUGUGUUCAUAACAGCAAACUUUGGGGGUGUUCAUAUUCCCAAAGUAAUGGUAGAUGGAGGUGCAGCCAUUAAUCUUCUACCCAACAGGUUGUUGAUCAAGAUGGGCAGAACAGAGAAGGAACUAAUUCCAACACGCUUAACGGUCACCAACUUCGCUGAGGGCAUCACUUAGACUUAUGGAAUACUAGAUGUGGAUGUCAUAGUAGGAACCAAGAAGCUGAAGAUUGCAUUUUUUGUUGUAGACACCACUUUUGCCACUUACAAUGCACUGCUUGGCAGAGAUUGGAUCUACCAGAGUCUAUGUGUUUCUUCCACUCUACACCAACAGUUGGCCCUCUGGCAUGAAGAAGGUUUCAUGGAGAUUGUGGAGGCCGACCCACGACCAUUCCUAUCAUCUGCACUAUGUUUUGAGGCUAGGUAUUAUCAUGAUGACCUUGGCCCUUUCACUCUCUUUGGAGUUAACCAGAAUGGUCGUCCUCAUGGUGUCACGGCCCAAAAACUCAUUGAAGAAAGUCUGGCUAGUUCUCUAGAGAACUGGAAUAGACCUUGCGUUCUCAACCUCCACAAUUCUAAUGUUUACCUCAAACCACAGGAAAAUGAUCGAGCUACAACAAUCCGAUCCAUUACAAAUAGAUUGCUGGUAUAUUGGGAAGAAAGGAAGCUCUUUAUGCAUAAUCUAGCCAUUAACAUGGCAGAAUUCAUGCAUGAGAGUACGGAAGAACAUGAAGGAAAUCUACAAGAGGAAGAAUUGGAGUUUGCACCAGCAUCACUAGAUGAUUCUCUACCAGAGAUGGAGGAUCCUUUGCAAGAAAUAAAUUUUGGGACAGAAGAGGACCCCAGACCUACUUUCAUCAGCAAGUUGUUAGAAGAACCAUUGAAGGAUGAAAUCAUUACACUUCUGUAUAAUUUCAAAGAUUGUUUUGCAUGGCAUAACAUGAAAUGCCUGGACUGGAUAGAGGGCGGGUGGAGCACAAGUUGCCAAUAAAAGAAGGUUACUUACCAUUCAAGCAUGCCAGAAGAAGGAUGUCUAUGGAGACAGAACUGAAAGUCAAAGAAGAAGAGUGUUGAGGCCCAAAAAAGUCACAGGAAGCCCAAAGACAUUUAAAGCCCAAUAUAACAUAUAAUGUCGGUUAUGCGUUAAUCCAAGCUGUAUUUUGGGAUUUAAUUCAUUAAAUAAAUAUAAAAAUAAUGUACAUGCCAUGCCAAACUAAUAAUACAUUUUUCCCAUGCUAAUCACUAUGAACCCAAGUCGUGUGGUUUACGGGCUUGCAUGAGGGAUUGUGGUGUGGAAGGUUACGGAGGUCCACAAGGCCCACGAAAACUCUUGGAUAAUGGAGACUUUGGGCUAGCUACUUGGGAGCACCAAAAUCUAAGCCCAUUACUUAGAGUUCUCUAAUGUGGGUGAGCAAAUGAGAUAUUUUUCAAGCACUUUCUUUUACCCAUAGGAAAUAGUCAUUUUCCAAAUACCUAGCUUUACCCAUUGGAAACAAGCCUUUUUCAGCACUUCUUAUUAUCCAUUGGAAACAAGCAGUUUCCAGUGCUUCCUUUUACCCAUAGGAAAUAAUCAGUUUAUGGUACCUAGCUUUACCUGCUGGAAAAUAGCAUGCCCUAGUGCUCCCUUUUAACCACUGGAAAUAGGCUAGUUCCAACACCUCUCUUUACCUAUUGAAAAUAAAGGAAAACUCUCACCCUCUAUAAAUUGGCAUUCAUGGCUCAAGCAAAGGACACUAAUUUUUCUUCAGCUAACACUCUCUCACUUGGCUGUUGCAAGUAUCCCAACAGCCAUCAACCCCUUUCAGCAACCACUAGACCACUUUCCUUCCUCCAUUCAGCCACUGCAAGUAUUCCAGCAGCCAUCCUAGCCAUUCCUCAACUAUCACAACCAUUUCUUCUAUUUUCCUAUCAUUGAAAUCCUCCAUUGUCCCUAUAAAGCCUCACAAACCAUACCUGCAAGCUUUUCCUUCAUUCUCGUACCCUUCCAAGCUAUAAGCACCAUAGCUUUCUGUUGUUAAAAUGUUAACUCGCAAUUGUACGGGCCAAUUAGUAGUAUAGCAAGACAAGUACGAGGUCGUACCCACGAGGACUAAGAAGUUAAAAUUAGUUAUGUACUUAGAUUACCAAAUUCAAGAAAGUAGGAGGUUAAGUCUAAAAUAGAAUUUAAAGCAAGAGUGAUUGUAAUUGUUGAACAAAUGAGGCAAAACGAAAUUUCAAACAAAAGCAAAGUGAACAAAUGUAACAAAGAGUACUUUUGUAGGCUGGAAAACAGAUUGGGAGACUAGGGCAUUCGAUUCACCAUAACAAUUCAAUUCUGGGUUAUAAGGAGUCAAGUGACAAGUCUCAUUCGGAUUCAAAGAUUGAUUCUAGCUAAAGUAUGAUUAGGCCAUGGUGUCUGGUCCUAACCUUGUGCUCCUAAUUCCCUAACUUGAUCAUUUGUUGUCUAAUCUAAAUUAAGCAUUAGGAACCCAUUAAGCAUAGAAGAACAAUUUAAACAACCAAGCAUGUAUCUAAUCCCUGUUGUCGAAUGUCCAUACAUACUUUUCUUAUUCAUAGUUCAAUUCAAAUCAAAGCAUGGUGUCUACUCUUGAUUCAAACCAAGGUAGCUAAUAUACAAGUUCUAAUGGUGAUCAAUCAUCCAAACAAGUAUAUUAACUGAUAAGCAUAAAGAAUAGGAAUAUGAAUCAUGAAUCAAACUUGAAACUCAAAACUUCAACUUAUAAACCCAGAAUAUUCAUGUUAGGUCACAUCAUAGCCCUAGUUAUGAAUUUAGCUACUCAUAAUGGAAAUGAAACGUAAGCAAAAAUGAGAAAACAUAUUGAAUGCAAUAAGAGUAGAGAAACCCAAUUCUGAAGUUUCUUGUGGUUUCCAAGGCUUCUCCAGGUGCUUCUCCACGUCUAAUGCUACUCCAAGAACUUUCUCAUGUCUAGAGUAUGGCAACUAAAGAGGUGAUUUGGGAUGAGUUUGGGUGGUUGGUGAUGGCAGAGAAAGAACAAAUUCGUAGGAAAUGGAAGGAAGGCUUGUUGGAGUUCUCCCCCCCUCUGAUUUUGGGCUGAAUGGAGUGAUAUAGGAUGGCUGGAGUGAAUUAUUGGUCAAUUGAGUGAAUCCUUUGCCUUUGAGUAGCUGACACACCUCCCUAAAUUGCUCCCUAAAUUGCUCAACAUGUCUGGUCUAAAGUCAAGGCUCCUCUGCACUUGAGUAGCUGACACACCUCCCUUAAUUGCUCAACAUGUCAGGUCUAAAGUCAAGGAAAGUUGUGGUGAGUCACAUGGCUCAAAGAAAGUAUCCAAGGCUCAACAACUGGAAACUGCAAUCCUGAGCCUGGUGUGUAUAUGGGCUCACGAAUUGGGCUCAACUUCAUAAUCUGAUGCAUUUGAGUAGUCCAUCUUGAAGUUCAGACUCUCAUCUUUCCAACUACAUAUUAUUUGGGCCAAUCCAAGUUCGGAGAAAGAUGUUAAGGCCGAAAUGAGUUGCUAACCCAGUCUGCUCGUUUUUGCACCAUUUUGCAUCUUUUCUUAUCCAAAGACACCAUUGCUACCUAAGGCCCAAUGAACUGAAUGAUAAACAGAAAAGGGAUUAAAAGCACACGUUUGACUUAAUAACAUAACCAAAUCAUAAGCUAGAAGGGUACAAAAUGAUAUACAAUUGUGAACUGAUCA
rnacentral:lncRNA from 1 species